CCUACGGGAGGCAGCAGUGAGGAAUAUUGGUCAAUGGACGAGAGUCUGAACCAGCAAAGUAGCGUGAAGGAUGACUGCCCUAUGGGUUGUAAACUUCUUUUAUAUGGGAAUAAAAUGUUCCACGUGUGGGAUUUUGUAUGUACCAUAUGAAUAAGGAUCGGCUAACUCCGUGCCAGCAGCCGCGGUAAUACGGAGGAUCCGAGCGUUAUCCGGAUUUAUUGGGUUUAAAGGGAGCGUAGGUGGAUUGUUAAGUCAGUUGGGAAAGUUUGCGGCUCAACCGUAAAAUUGCAGUUGAAACUGGCAGUCUUGAGUACAGUAGAGGUGGGCGGAAUGCGUGGUGUAGCGGUGAAAUGCUUAGAUAUCACGAAGAACGCCGAUUGCGAAGGCAGCUCACUGGACUGCAACUGACACUGAGGCUCGAAAGUGUGGGUAUCAAACAGGAUUAGAUACCCGGGUAGUC
rnacentral:rRNA from 1 species